rnacentral:rRNA from 1 species
AUGGUAGAACAAAAGAUUAACAUCAUGAGUUGGAAUGUCAGGGGGUUAAACUGCCCUGACAGACGUGCUACGGUCCAUGAAACAAUUUCCGCUUCUUCUUGCCACAUUGUUUGUCUUCAGGAAACGAAAAUGGCAUGUAUUGAUCAAUUCCUUGCUUGCUAUCUCGGCGGCAACCGGCUCCGUAGCUUUGCUCAAAGGCCCGCCAAUGGCACUCGCGGUGGCUUAGUCAUGCUCUGGGAUGACUCUGUUGUUGAGGUUUCAAAUGUGAGGACAUCCGAAUUUUGUCUCUCCGCCAACGUAAACAUCCGCAACUCUGAUUCGCAAUUUUUGAUCACAUCC